rnacentral:rRNA from 1 species
GAUGAACGCUGGCGGCGUGCCUAACACAUGCAAGUCGAGCGGGGACUUCGGUCCUAGCGGCGAACGGGUGAGGAAUGCUUGGGAAUCUGCCCAGUAGUGGGGGAUAAUGUUUCGAAAGGAACGCUAAUACCGCAUACGUCCUACGGGAGAAAGGGGGGGAUCUUCGGACCUCUCGCUAUUGGAUGAGCCCAAGUCGGAUUAGCUAGUUGGUGAGGUAAAGGCUCACCAAGGCGACGAUCCGUAGCUGGUCUGAGAGGAUGAUCAGCCACACUGGAACUGAGACACGGUCCAGACUCCUACGGGAGGCAGCAGUGGGGAAUAUUGGACAAUGGGCGAAAGCCUGAUCCAGCCAUGCCGCGUGUGUGAAGAAGGCCUUCGGGUUGUAAAGCACUUUAAGCGAGGAGGAAUGGCUCUGGGAUAAUACCCUUGAGCAGUGACGUUGCUCGCAGAAUAAGCACCGGCUAACUCUGUGCCAGCAGCCGCGGUAAGAC